rnacentral:tRNA from 1 species
AUUUAAAUAGUUUAUAAAAAUAUUGAUUUGUGGUGUCAAAGAUAUGGGUAACCAUUUUAAAUC